rnacentral:rRNA from 1 species
UAAUACGUAGGGGGCUAGCGUUGUCCGGAAUCAUUGGGCGUAAAGCGCGUGUAGGCGGUUCGGUAAGUCCGCUGUGAAAGUCGGGGGCUCAACCCUCGAAAGCCGGUGGAUACUGUCGGGCUAGAGUACGGAAGAGGCGAGUGGAAUUCCUGGUGUAGCGGUGAAAUGCGCAGAUAUCGGGAGGAACACCAGUGGCGAAGGCGACUACCUGGCCUGUUCUUGACGCUGAGGCGCGAAAGCUAGGGGAGCAAACGGGAUUAGAUACCCCGGUAGUCCUAGCCGUAAACGAUGGACACUAGGUGUUGGUGGUAUCAACCCCGCCAGUGCCGAAGCUAACGCAUUAAGUGUCCCGCCUGGGGAGUACGGCCGCAAGGCUA